AGCGAACGCUGGCGGCAGGCCUAACACAUGCAAGUCGAGCGCCGUAGCAAUACGGAGCGGCAGACGGGAGAGUAACACGUGGGAACGUACCCUUUGGUUCGGAACAACCCAGGGAAACUUGGGCUAAUACCGAAUAAGCCCUCACGGGGAAAGAUUUAUCGCCGAAGGAUCGGCCCGCGUCUGAUUAGCUAGUUGGUGAGGUAAUGGCCCACCAAGGAAACGAUCAGUAGCUGGUCUGAGAGGAUGAUCAGCCUCAUUGGGACUGAGACACGGCCCAGACUGUGAGGGGAGGCAGCAGUGGGGAAUAUUGGACAAUGGGCGCAAGCCUGAUCCAGCCAUGCCGCGUGGGUGAUGAAGGCCCUAGGGUUGUAAAGCCCUUUCGGCGGGGAAGAUAAUGACGGUACCCGCAGAAGAAGCCCCGGCUAACUUCGUGCCAGCCGCCGCCGUAA
rnacentral:rRNA from 1 species